CCAGGCCGCUGAGGCCCCAGCCGACUCCUCCUUUUCGCACCACCAUUGCGGGGGCUGGGCCUGCCGGGGGGUGGGGAAGACGACCGAAGGGGACCCAGUGUGUCCGCAAGGCGGCUGCAGGAGGACUAAGCAUGGACGGCAGCCGGAGAGUCAGAGCAACCGCGGUCCUUCCAGAUACAGUUCACCAUGCAUAUUUAAAGGCCACUUGAGCAUCAAAAGUAAUGCUUUUUGCACUGACUCCUCUUCUCUCAGACUAACCACUCUCCAGCUGGUGAAGAAUCACAUGGCUGUUCACUAUA